rnacentral:misc_RNA from 1 species
CUUAAAUUAUGAAUUGCAAUAUACACGUACAAAAAAAGAACUAAAAAUAAGAAAAAAUUUACAAAAAAUGGCAAACUGAUGGGACCCUGGCAAUGUGGGGCCCGGAGGCAAUCACACCUGAAGAGAUCGCAGGUUUGUCAGCAUCUUCAUACUGCUGUUUUGAUGAUCAUCAUCCUGUCUAGAACAGCUGCUGCUUGUGCUUGGAAGUUGAAAGUCUAAAGGAAAUUUGCCAACACAACAGCCAAUAAUGUUAUCCUCACGAUCUUCAAGAUCAAGCGAGUACAUAACAUCUUCUCUGUUCCAUCCCGCACGCAAUAACACAAGCGACAACACCCUCACUUGCCACACCACAUCUUCUUUACCCAGCUUGGCCCCACAGCCCUUCUCUCUCUCUUGAUCACAACCGCCCAUCGUCAUCAUCUCCCUCACCUCCUCCUCUCUCCAGCCUCCAUCUCUCAGCUUCCAAUACACAUCCUCUAAACAAUCUCCUAGUUCCCAGCAUUUCAAUUCCCCACUGCUCCACCAUCCGUGCGUUUCAUCACGCGCCACCACUCUCCUGCCUCUUUCCGCUACCUCCGUCCAAAAUUCAAUCCUCCUCGCUGUUGUCGCCGCCCAGGCCGGCACAUUGAUGGGUAUCUUCUGAUUUCUUGGUAAAGUCCCCGGCCUAAUAAAAUGAAGACCAAUUUGCAAGAAUUCAACCUCUUGAAAGAACCUGGCAACAUCAAAGCUCAAAACACGCACACCGCCAUCAUCUAUGUAAAACACCGGGUUCCCGGCGGCGUUUGGCGUAGAAGGAAUGUAACAAUUGCCGUAUAUAGGUACAAGAACCGGUGCUUUAUCCAAGAACCCCUUCGCUAUCUCCAAUGCUAGGUUGCUAUCAUCUGGUUUGUCAC